UACAGAGGUCUCAAGCGUUGUUCGGAUUCAUUGGGCGUAAAGGGUGCGUAGGCGGCGCGGUAAGUCGGGUGUGAAAUCUCGGGGCUUAACUCCGAAACUGCAUUCGAUACUGCCGUGCUUGAGGACUGGAGAGGAGACUGGAAUUUACGGUGUAGCGGUGAAAUGCGUAGAUAUCGAGAGGAACACCUGAGGCGAAGGCGGGUUGCUAGGCUGACACUGACGCUGAGGAGCGAAAGCAUGGGGAGCGAACAGG
rnacentral:rRNA from 1 species